ACAAGUACCGUGAGGGAAAGUUGCAAAGCACUUUGAAGAGAGAGUUAAAGAGGACGUGAAACCGAUGAGAUCGAAACGGAUAGAGUCAGCGUAUCUGACCUGUAUUCAGUCACACAUCUGUCAGUCGUCAUGUGUUGAUUUCCAGACUGGGACAGUGUGUGGCUAGCUGAUUGUUGUGUGGUGCAUUUGCAGGUGGAGUGCGUCGAGACGCUCGGUGUGGCGACAUGAGCUCAGUUUUGAGGCCAGCUUGCUGGUACCCGAAUUGGAGGAAUGUUGUUCACGCUGAGUGGAAUUGGCAAGGCCUACGAGUCCGGUUGGGCAUCGAGCUGGCAGUCGGCGUCGGUCGCAUGCGACACGUGCUGUGCAGUCAGUUCGGUCCUAGUCGAGCUCACAAGCCUAUUCUCGGCGUAAAAGCUGGUCAUCUAUCCGACCCGUCUUGAAACACGGACCAAGGAGUUUAUCGUGUGCGCAAGUCAUUGGGCGUUGAAAACCCAAAGGCGCAAUGAAAGUGAACGCAUCCGCAAGGAGCUGACGUGCGAUCCCGGGUACUGCGGUGCCCGAGCGCAGCAUGGCCCCAUCCCGAUUGCUUGCAAUGGGGUGGAGGAAGAGCGUACGCGGUGAGACCCGAAAGAUGGUGAACUAUUCCUGAGCAGGAUGAAGCCAGAGGAAACUCUGGUGGAAGUCCGAAGCGAUUCUGACGUGCAAAUCGAUCGUCUGACUUGGGUAUAGGGGCGAAAGACUAAUCGAACCAUCUAGUAGCUGGUUCCUUCCGA
rnacentral:rRNA from 1 species